rnacentral:rRNA from 1 species
GUGGGGAAUAUUGGACAAUGGGCGAAAGCCUGAUCCAGCAAUGCCGCGUGAGUGAUGAAGGCCUUAGGGUUGUAAAGCUCUUUUACCAGGGAUGAUAAUGACAGUACCUGGAGAAUAAGCUCCGGCUAACUCCGUGCCAGCAGCCGCGGUAAUACGGAGGGAGCUAGCGUUGUUCGGAAUUACUGGGCGUAAAGCGCGCGUAGGCGGCUUUUCAAGUCAGGGGUGAAAUCCCGGGGCUCAACCCCGGAACUGCCCUUGAAACUGGAUGGCUAGAAUACUGGAGAGGUGAGUGGAAUUCCGAGUGUAGAGGUGAAAUUCGUAGAUAUUCGGAAGAACACCAGUGGCGAAGGCGACUCACUGGACAGUUAUUGACGCUGAGGUGCGAAAGCGUGGGGAGCAAACAGGAUUAGAAACCCCGGUAGUCC